rnacentral:rRNA from 1 species
CAGCCGCCGCGGUAAUUCGUAGGGCGCAAGCGUUGUCCGGAAUUAUUGGGCGUAGAGAGCUCGUAGGUGGUUUGCUACGUCUGCUGUGAAAACCUAGGGCUUAACCCUGGGCCUGCAGUGGAUACGGGCAGACUAGAGGUAGGUAGGGGAGAAUGGAAUUCCCGGUGUAGCGGUGAAAUGCGCAGAUAUCGGGAGGAACACCGGUGGCGAAGGCGGUUCUCUGGGCCUUACCUGACACUGAGGAGCGAAAGCGUGGGGAGCGAACAGGAUUAGAUACCCUGGUAGUCCACGCCGUAAACGUUGGGCGCUAGGUGUGGGGUCCUUCCACGGACUCCGUGCCGCAGCUAACGCAUUAAGCGCCCCGCCUGGGGAGUACGGCCGCAAGGCUAAAACUCAAAUGAAUUGACGG